CUUAACACUUGUUUAUACUACAUUUUCUGUUUAAUCCAUAGAGCACUCGAUUUGAGUCCUGAGACCCUGGGGUGACCACCGUGAACAAAUACAGACAGCAAAAAGGAGGUUCUAGGAUGAAUGCAAAUAAAGACUGACCACCUGACUUCAGCGGUCCAGUCUCUUGUGGGAAGCAGGUGUUUGUUACCCCAAAUACGGAUGAAGAGUGACGAAGAGGAUGAUGACUUUUUUCUCAAACAUCUGCUGAAGAUCUUGACAGGCUGGAGACAAAAUUAACAGACUGAGGGUUUAUACAAAGAAUCUUACUCAGCCAAUAUUAAAGAUAAGAUAUUUUUACAAAA